rnacentral:rRNA from 1 species
GGCCAACGGGAGAAGGGUUGUUAAGGAACUCGGCAAAUUGACCCCGUAACUUCGGGAGAAGGGGUGCUCCAGAGAUGGAGCCGCAGAGAAUCGGCCCAAGCAACUGUUUACCAAAAACACAGGUUUGUGCUAAAUCGAAAGAUGACGUAUACGAGCUGACGCCUGCCCGGUGCUGGAAGGUUAAGAGGAGAUGUGCAAGCAUUGAAUCGAAGCCCCAGUGAACGGCGGCCGUAACUAUAACGGUCCUAAGGUAGCGAAAUUCCUUGUCAGGUAAGUUCUGACCCGCAUGAAAGGCGUAAUGAUUUGGGCACUGUCUCGACAGCCCGCCCGGCGAAAUUGUAGUACCGGUGAAGAUGCCGGUUACCCGCGACAAGACGGAAAGACCCCAUGGAGCUUUACUGUAGCCUAAUAUUGGGUUUCGAUGUUGCAUGCACAGGAUAGAUGGGACACAGGGAAACAAGUGCUUUGGCAUUUGUGGAGUGGCCGUUGGGAUACCAUCCUUGCGAUAUUGGAAUUCUAACCUGCGCCUUUGAAUCAAGGCGGGGGACAUUGUUAGGUGGGCAGUUUGACUGGGGCGGUCGCCUCCUAAAGAGUAACGGAGGCGUUCAAAGGUUCGCUCAGCUUGAACGGAAAUCAAGCAAAAGAGUGCAAACGCAGAAGCGAGCCUAACUGCGAGACUGACGGGUCGAGCAGUAACGAAAGUUGGAGUUAGUGAUCCGGUGGUAUGUGAGUGGAAAUGCCAUCGCUCAACGGAUAAAAGUUACCCUGGGGAUAACAGGCUGAUCUCCCCCAAGAGUCCACAUCGACGGGGAGGUUUGGCACCUCGAUGUCGGCUCAUCGCAUCCUGGGGCUGUAUUCGGUCCCAAGGGUUUGGCUGUUCGCCAAUUAAAGCGGUACGCGAGCUGGGUUCAGAACGUCGUGAGACAGUUCGGUCCCUAU